rnacentral:lncRNA from 10 species
AAAUAGACAUAAUUUAUUUCUGCUCAUAGCUUGACAUUUAGUGGAAAAUAUGGAAAAAAUAAACAAGUCAAUGAAAUAAUUACAAGUGCUAUGAAGGAAGCAGAGUGCUGAGACUUACAGAAUUUAGACAAGGCAAGGUUCUUCUCUGCUUUAAACCUUCCAGAGCUCCCCAUGGGCUGUGCAAUGCAGUUCCAAGUCCUUAGCAUGGCAUUCAAGGCUCUUUAAAACAUCACAUCUUGCCUGAUGUUCCCGGCCACUGAUGCUCUCAAUACUCCAGGCACAACUAAUUACUGGCCACUCCCUGGACAUGUGUGUUGUGCCAAGGAGCUCAGAUAUUGACCUGUCAGUGAUAGGAGUGGUUCUAAGCAUGGUGGUGACACAUUCUCAUCCAAUGUACACUGUGGAUGGUAAUUCUGCAGUCUGUAAGAGGGCCUGGUCAGGGAGAGACACGAGAACCUGUUAGAAAGCAUCAAUAGGGCUUCAGCAAGAGGAUGGCGUGGCCUGACAUGUGAGUGGGAAGCACAGAUCUAUGAGAUACUGAAGUGAUCCAUUCUUUAAGACUUGGUCAUGGAUUGGCUGUGAGGGCGAGGAAAAGGGGAUAGCAAAUGACUUCCAGCUCCUAGCCUUGAACAGGUUGGUGAGCUGCAGACUGAGGCAGUAAAAGUCACAGAAAAGUGGUCUUAACGUAGUAACACUCCUUUAAUCAACAUAUACAUUCUUCCAGAGAAAAGUAAGAAAUAGUUUUUUUCCUCUGGGACUGGUUAGAAUCUUACGAGAAAAGUAUCCAGACUUCUUGCCAGUGGUGCUUGCACAUCAAAGGGCGUGGCGAGAGGAUUAUGUUACGAGCCUCUCAUCUGGGGGUUCACAACUGUGAUCUGCAGGCUGCAACUUGCUUCUAAACAGAGCUAAUUUUUCUUGCAUUUUUCAACUGGGAAGUUCUCCACAGAAUUCCUACUUUUCAUAUUUGAAAAAUCAAGAUGAUUUGCUAAUAUUCUGACAUGACAACAACUGGCUAAAAUUGAGGGGUGACCUUCUCCUUCCGAAGGCAUCUGCACCUUUGGUUCACCACAAACCUCACCACUCCCUAAUGUCUAUCUCGACUGCAGACUGAGUCCUCAGUGACUGCCAUGUUGCAGGGCCCCUGUGCGAUAAGUGCAGGGACAUGGAAGUCUGAGACCACAGAGCACAUGGGUGAUCACGGCUGUAAACACACAAUCCAUCUUCCCUAAUUGCCAAGGAGGCUUGAAUUUCCUCCAAGGUGCUCCACCAGCUGCCUUUCCCCUGGUAGUGCUCCCAGGCCAUAGCUGCUCUCCCCACCCAGUGUAUGCUGGUAUCUUGCCACUUUUGCCUCUUGUGUAUUUCUGGCAGCUGUCACCUCUCUCGCACCCUAUUUCUGUGGUCCUGGUUAGGCUCAGGAUCCAUGGCCUCUCACUGGGGCCAUGACAGUGGCCUUUCACUUAGGGUCCUGUGUGGCAGGCUCCUGCAGGCUUCUCCAGACUCCAAGUCUACAGUGCAGAUCUUGCCUUCUGUGCCCCAGUGGCUUUAAGGGGGCUGUCUUUACUGUGUUCCCACUUAAAAGUGUUCCCACUUUUAAGGCUGGUAAUUCCCACCACACACCUUGUUUCAGUGCCUAUUCAUUUGCUAAUUGGUUUCCUUAUGUUGAUGUAUUAGUUUGCUAAUGCUGCUCUAACAAAAUGCCACAAACUGACUGGCUUAAAACAAUAGAUGUGUAUUCCCAAACAGUUCUGGAGAGUAGGAUUCUGAAAUCAAGGUGUCAGCAGAGCUGUAUGAGUCCAUUCUUGCACUGCUAUAAAGAAAUACCCGAAACUGGGUAAUUCAUAAAGAAAAGGUUUAAUUGGCUCAUGGUUCCGUUGGCUGUUCAGGAAGCAUAGUGGCUUGGGCUUUUGGGAAGACCUCGGGUAACUUAAAAUCACGGAGGAAGGUGAAGGGGAAGCAGGCACGUCUUACAUGGCCAGAGCAGGAGCAAGAGAGAGAGGUGGGAGGUACCACACACUUUUAAACAAUGAGAUCUCAUGAUAACUCACUCACUAUACCAUAACAAAGGGGAUGGCUCUAAAUCAUUAAUGAGAACUCCACCUCCAUGAUCCAAUCACCUCCCACCAGACCCUACCUCCGAAACUGGGAAUUACAAUGAGACUUGAGAUUUGGACAGGGUCAUAUCCAGACCAUAUGAUUCUACCCCUGCCCCCUCCCAAAUUUUAUGUCCUUCUCAAAUUUCAAAAUACAAUCAUGCCUUCCCAACAGUCCCCUAAAGUCUUAACUUAUUCCAACAUUAACUCAAAACUCCAAAGUCCAAAGUGUCAUCUGAGACAAGGCUAGUCCUUUCCAUCUAUGCUCCUGUAAAAUAAAAAAACAAAUUAGUUACUCCCAAGAUACAAUGUGGGUACAGGCAUUGGGUAAAUACUCCCAAAAGGGAGAAUGUGGUCAAAAUAAAAGGGCUACAGGCCCCAUGCAAGUCCAAAACUCAGCAGGGCAGUCAUUAAACCUCAAAGCUCCAAAAUAAUCUCCUUUAACCCCACGUCUCACAUCCAGGGCACACUGGUGCAAGGAAUGGGCUCCCAAGGCCUUGGGCAGCUCCAACCCCGUGGCGUUGCAGAGUUCAGCCUCUGCUGCUGCUCUCAAGAACUGAUGUUGAGUGCCUGCAGCUUUUCCAGGUAGAGGGUGCAACCUGCUGGCGAAUCUAUCAUUCUGGGGUCUGGAGGAUGGUGGCCCUCUGUUCACAGCUCCACUAGGUAGUGCCCCACUACCCAACUCCACAUUUCUUGUCUGCACUGCCCUAGUAGAGGUUCUCCAUGAGGCUCUGCUCCUGGAGCAGGCUUCUGUCUGGACAUCCAGGCUUUUCCAUACAACCUCUGAAAUCCAGGCAGAAGUUCCCACACCUCAAUUCUUGCACUGUGUGCACCUGCAGGCUUAACACUAUGUGAAUGCUUCUAAGGCUUAUUGCUUGCACCCUCUAGAGCAGCUACCUGAGUUAUAAAUGGGUCCCUUUGAGCUACAGCUGGAGCUGGACUGGCUGGGAUGCAGGUAGCAGUGUCUGGAGGCUGUGUUGGGCAGUGGGGCCCUGGUCCUGGACCAAAAACUAUGCAGUCCUCCCAGGCCUCUGGGCCUGUGAUGGGAGGGGCUGCCACAAUGCUCUCUGAAGUGCCUUCAAAGCCUUCUCCCCAUUGUCCUAUCAGCACUUGGCUCAUCUUAUGCAAAUUUCUGCAUCUAGCUUAAAUUCAUUCCCAGGAAAGAGGUUCUUUUUUUGUACCACAAGGCCAGGCUGCAAAUUUUCCAGUUUUACACUCUGCUUCCCUUUUAAAUGUAAGUUCCAGUUUCAGGUCAUUACAUUGCUCAUGCAUGUGAGCACAGGCUGUUUGAAGCAGUUAGGUCACCUUGAAUAUUUUGUUGGUUAGAAAUUUUUUCUGCCAGAUACCCUAAAUCAUCACUCUCAAGUUCAAGGUCCCACAGAUCCUUAGCUCUUUGCUAACACAUAACAAAAGUGACAUUUUCUCCAGUUGCCAAUAUAUUCUUCAUCUCUGUCUGAGACCUGGGCCUCAUUGUCCAUAUGAGUAUUUUGGUCACAACCAUUCAGUAAGUCUCUAGGAAGUUCAAACUUUCCCUCAUCUUUGUCCUCUUCUGAGCUCUCUGUACUCCUCCAACCUCUGCUUAUUACCCGAUUCCAAGGUUGAUUCCACAUUUUCAGGUAUCUUUAUAGCAAUGCACCACUCCAAGUACCAAUUUUCUGUAUUAGUCUGUUCUUGCAUUGCUAUAAAGAAAUACCCAAGACUGGGUAAUUUAUAAGAAGGUUUAACGGCUCAUAGUUCUGCAGGCUGUACAAGCAGCAUAGUGGCUUCUACUUCUGGGCAGGCCUCAGGAAACUUAUAAUCAUGGCAGAAGGCAAAGGAAAAGCAGGCAUGUCUUACAUGGCAAGAGCAGGAGGAAGAGAGUCGGGAGGUGCCACACACUUUAAAAAAAAAAAAACAGAUCAUGACCACUCUCCCACUAUAAAACCAGUACUAAUGAGGCAUGGUGCUAAACCACUCAUGAGAACUCUGCCACCAUGAUCCAAUCACCUCCCACCAGGCCCUACCUCCAACACUGGGAAUUACAAUCCGACAUGAUUUUGGGUGGGGACACAGAGCCAAACCGUAUCAAUGGCCAUGCUCAUGUUCCAGUUUCUGUGGUUGUAGGCAAUGCUUGGUGUUCCCUGGUGUGCAGCUACAUAACUCUAAUUUCUGCCUCCAUCAUCACACAGCAACUUUUCAAAAAAAAAAAAAGAAAAAAAAAGAAAGAAAAAGAAAAGAAAAAAGUAGUAAGGAAGAUAGAGUUGUACUCAUGUAAGGCUCAGGUUUUGUCAGUUAUAAGUUAAUGACAACAGGGCAAAAGGAGUUUAAGAUAUUGCCAUGAUAGUGGCAGAAGUAUUAAGAUGACAGAUCUGAGCUGGAUGGAGAGGUAAGUGAAAAGGUUACUAAUGGAACUACUAAUGAGAAUUAAAAAACUGGCAUAUUGGGUUUGACUCUCAAACUUUCCAAAGCUCUUCGUAUUUAUCUGCUUUAAUCCAACAGUUUUAUCACCAACUAUACAGUGUGCUGUGCUACACUGCAGGGGGAUGCAGCCGUAAAUAAGACAAUCAACACUGAUCAUUUUGUAGAAAAGCAUGAAGACUAAUAAUAUUCAUUUAUCUUAUCUUUUAGAGAUGGGGUCUCAGUCUUGUCACCCAGGAUGGAGUGCAGUGGCACAGUCAAGGCUCACUCCAGCCUUGACCUUCCAGGGUUAAGUGAUUCUCCCACUGCAGCCUCCCUAGUAGCUGGGACUACACACCACCAUGACUAGCUAAUUUUAUUUAUUUAUUUUUUUGGUAGAGACAGGGUCUCCCUAUGUUGCCCAGGCUGGUCUCAAAUUCCUGGGCUCAAACAUUCCUCCCACUUAGGCCUCCCAAAGUGCUGGGAUUACAGGCAUAAGCCACCCCACCUGGCCAAAACUAGUAAUAGUCAAUAGAAUGAUCAGUACAAUUAAUAAGAUCUAGGUACAAGGUAGUAAAAAUGUGAGAAAGGAUACUUUUCACCUCAUGGUAAGACAUGGUUAUCAGGAAACAUUCUUUAAAAACUGCCUUAAAUAGCUCUUGAGACAGCUGCAAGUAAAGUUGGGAUGAAGAAACCAUUCUGAGUAGCAUGAAUAGCAUAAAAAAGCAUAAAGCAUAGCGAAAGCCUAAUCAGAAGAUAAGGCUUAUGGAAAAACAAUGCAAGGUAGGGCUGUAAAGGUAAUUUAAAGCCAAAUUAGAGAGAGCCUUAAAUGUGGUAAGGAAUCUGGACUUCAUUCAGUAGGCAGUGGAGGGGCAGUUCAAGUCUAUAAACAUGAUCAAUGAUGUGCUCUAAAAAGAAACCAUUUUGUUUGGGGUGAGGUUCAGGCAUCAUCUCAAGCUUCUAAAGAUGAUGAUCAGAAUCAGAUGAUUCUAACAUGCCAGCAGGGUAGAAAGACACUAGCCUAAGGAAAGCCUAUGCAUAUCUCUCAAUCUUCAUCAAACAAAAUUUGGAAGAAACCACCUAUUACUAGCUAAGUUUGACCUAGCAAAAUCAAAAUUUAAAAAGCAGACCAUUCCCAUAACAAAAGAAAAAUAGAUAUUGAAUAUAUACAAUUUAUUUAAUAAAUUAAUGUCAUUCAAAAUACAGUGCCAGAACAUGGUGCAGUUGAACA